GCGCCUGCGCAGAGCGCCCGCCGCCCGCCGGGGCGUGUUCUCUGUUUGGGGAUUGCCUUAGCUCGGUUGGGGUGCAUCCCUCGCCCGCAAAACGCGCCCUGCGGGAGCCUGCAAGUUUCCACGAACAGCCCGUUAGUUAGGGGCUGCCCUCUGAGACCAUGUCCAAGUCUCUGAAGAAGUUGGUGGAGGAGAGCCGGGAGAAGAACCAGCCGGAAGUGGACAUGAGUGACCGCGGCAUCUCCAACAUGCUGGACGUCCACGGCCUGUUCUCCUUAUCCCACAUCACACAACUGGUCCUCAGCCACAACAAGCUAAUAACUGUGCCUGCAAACAUAGCAGAGCUGAAGAAUUUGGAAGUGCUUAACUUUUUUAAUAACCAGAUUGAGGAGCUGCCCACACAGAUCAGCAGCCUUCAGAAACUGAAGCACCUGAACCUUGGGAUGAAUAGACUAAACACUUUGCCUCGAGGAUUUGGCUCUCUCCCAGCUCUUGAGGUCCUUGAUUUGACUUACAACAACUUGAAUGAAAAUUCCCUUCCUGGAAACUUCUUCUACCUGACCACCCUGCGUGCACUCUAUCUAAGUGACAACGAUUUUGAAAUCCUGCCGCCAGAUAUUGGGAAGCUCACAAAGUUGCAGAUACUCAGCCUUAGGGAUAACGACCUGAUCUCGCUGCCUAAGGAAAUCGGGGAGCUUACUCAGCUUAAGGAGCUUCACAUUCAGGGGAACCGCCUGACCGUUCUGCCCCCAGAACUAGGAAACCUGGAUCUGACUGGUCAGAAACAAGUAUUCAAAGCAGAGAACAAUCCUUGGGUUACCCCGAUUGCUGACCAGUUCCAACUUGGCGUGUCCCACGUUUUUGAAUAUAUCCGUUCAGAGACGUAUAAGUACACUUCAGUGAACUGAAGCAAGGCUGAUGGUCAGAUCCACCUGAAAAGCAGGCGUGCAGGUACUCCCAUUUGCCAGCUAGCAUAAUAGAUAUUCUGGAAAGAGAUGCAAGUCUAGGUUACUCAACUAAUGCGUGGCGGAACUCGCACUCAGUCCCUCUCUCCUGCACUCCACGCUGCCUGCCUCCAGACCAGCCUUACUCUACUCAGUCUCUACGGCAGACACAUGCAGGCAAAUCCAGAACCACCGAAGAAAAAUAAUGACAAAUC